rnacentral:tRNA from 2 species
GGGCCACUAGCUCAGUUGGUUAGAGCGCGCCCCUGAUAAGGGCGAGGUCUGUGGUUCAAAUCCACAGUGGCCCACCA